rnacentral:lncRNA from 1 species
GCAAAAGUAAAGAGAUAGUACCCGAGGAUCAAGAAUCGGAGUACUCGAAAUUCGACUCACGAAAUAGUGAGUAACCUUACUAUCGUCUUAAUUAUCUAAAGUAGUUUUUAUUCAUUGUGAUUUUAUAGAAAAAUAUGUUUAAAUGGUAAAUCUUUAGGUUUUAUAAACAAAAUGUGUUUAAAUGAAAUGAUUUUAUAAAUUGUCUUGAAAUUUAAUGAUGGUUUUGAAAAUGGAGUAAUUGGAGACUAAUUGCUGUGUUAUAAAUCAUGGUUUGAAUGGAAUGGCUUAUGAUAAUAUUGGCAUGAAUGGUUGAAUUGGUAUUUGUGUUGAAAAUGCAUAAACUGUUGUUUGCCUUGAUAGGCUAGAUAAUAAUAAAAUUGCCAUGUCAUGCUAUUGAAUUUUACUGAAUUGGUGGGUUAUUGAUUAGUCGCUGCAGUGGACGGGUUUCGUAGACCAGCCUAUUAGAGGGGGCACGGUAACCCUAUUAUAUUCAUACCUCAGUAUAAGAGGCGCGGUUGGAUAACUCUUGAGGUUAACACUUUAGAGUUCACUUCACGCCAAACCACCACGUGAGGGUGAACUCAGCUAAUGCCAAGGAAUGACUAUGUUUUCAAAAUAAAAACAUGACUUAUGCGUACAUAACUUUUUAUCAGCCUUGGCGGACUCAGUUGGGAUAGCCCUCGACCAAG